UACGAAGGGUGCAAGCGUUACUCGGAAUUACUGGGCGUAAAGCGUGCGUAGGCGGUUUGUUAAGUCCGCUGUGAAAGCCCUGGGCUCAACCUGGGAAUUGCAGUGGAUACUGGCAAGCUAGAGUGCGGUAGAGGAUGGUGGAAUUCCCGGUGUGGCGGUGAAAUGCGUAGAGAUCGGGAGGAACACCCGUGGCGAAGGCGGCCAUCUGGACCAGCACUGACGCUGAGGAGCGAAAGCGUGGGGAGCAAACAGG
rnacentral:rRNA from 1 species